rnacentral:rRNA from 1 species
AUUGAACGCUGGCGGCAGGCCUAACACAUGCAAGUCGAGCGGAUGAAGGGAGCUUGCUCCUGGAUUCAGCGGCGGACGGGUGAGUAAUGCCUAGGAAUCUGCCUGGUAGUGGGGGAUAACGUCCGGAAACGGGCGCUAAUACCGCAUACGUCCUGAGGGAGAAAGUGGGGGAUCUUCGGACCUCACGCUAUCAGAUGAGCCUAGGUCGGAUUAGCUAGUUGGUGGGGUAAAGGCCUACCAAGGCGACGAUCCGUAACUGGUCUGAGAGGAUGAUCAGUCACACUGGAACUGAGACACGGUCCAGACUCCUACGGGAGGCAGCAGUGGGGAAUAUUGGACAAUGGGCGGAAGCCUGAUCCAGCCAUGCCGCGUGUGUGAAGAAGGUCUUCGGAUUGUAAAGCACUUUAAGUUGGGAGGAAGGUCAGUAAGUUAAUACCUUGCUGUUUUGACGUUACCAACAGAAUAAGCACCGGCUAACUUCGUG